CCUACGGGAGGCAGCAGUGGGGAAUUUUGCGCAAUGGGGGAAACCCUGACGCAGCGACGCCGCGUGGAGGAAGACGGCCUUCGGGUUGUAAACUCCUGUCAGAGGUGAAGAAUGCCCGCAAGGGCUUGACGGUAACCUCAGAGGAAGCCCCGGCUAACUACGUGCCAGCAGCCGCGGUAAUACGUAGGGGGCGAGCGUUGCUCGGAAUUACUGGGCGUAAAGGGAGUGCAGGCGGCCGGUUAAGUCGAAGAUGAAAUCCCGAGGCUCAACUUCGGAAUGGUCUUCGAUACUGAUCGGCUUGAGGCUGGUUGAGGAGAGCGGAAUUCCCGGUGGAGCGGUGAAAUGCGUAGAUAUCGGGAGGAACACCAGAGGCGAAGGCGGCUCUCUAAACUAGUCCUGACGCUGAGACUCGAAAGCUAGGGGAGCAAACGGGAUUAGAUACCCCGGUAGUCCUAGCCGUAAACGAUGGACACUGGAUGUUCCCGCGUUCAUGCGGGAGUGUCGUAGCUAACGCGUUAAGUGUCCCGCCUGGGGAGUACGGUCGCAAGGCUGAAACUUAAAGGAAUUGACGG
rnacentral:rRNA from 1 species